rnacentral:tRNA from 1 species
GCCUGGGUGGCUCAGUUAGUUAAGCGUCUGGCUUUGGCUCAGGUCAUGAUCUCAUGGUUCGUGGGUUCGAGUCCUACAUCAGGCU